GGAUGCAAUCAUAUCAGCACUAAAGCAUCGGAUCCCAUCAUAACUCUGAAGCUAAACGUGCUUGGGCGAGAGUAGUACGAGAAUGGGUGAGCUCCUGGGUAGUCAUCAUGUUGCAUUCC
rfam:Triticum urartu cultivar G1812 contig222232, whole genome shotgun sequence.